rnacentral:rRNA from 1 species
GACGAACGCUGGCGGCGUGCCUAAUACAUGCAAGUAGAACGCACAGUUUAUACCGUAGCUUGCUACACCAUAGACUGUGAGUUGCGAACGGGUGAGUAACGCGUAGGUAACCUGCCUGGUAGCGGGGGAUAACUAUUGGAAACGAUAGCUAAUACCGCAUAAUAUUGAUUAUUGCAUGAUAAUUGAUUGAAAGAUGCUAUUGCAUCACUACCAGAUGGACCUGCGUUGUAUUAGCUAGUAGGUGAGGUAACGGCUCACCUAGGCGACGAUACAUAGCCGACCUGAGAGGGUGAUCGGCCACACUGGGACUGAGACACGGCCCAGACUCCUACGGGAGGCAGCAGUAGGGAAUCUUCGGCAAUGGACGAAAGUCUGACCGAGCAACGCCGCGUGAGUGAAGAAGGUUUUCGGAUCGUAAAGCUCCGUUGUAAGAGAAGAACGGGUGUGAGAGUGGAAAGUUCACACUGUGACGGUAUCUUACCAGAAAGGGACGGCUAACUACGUG